UAAGACAUCCACGUCCAAUUUCAUCUUUGUUUACCUUAUUUCUGUGACAGGGAAAACCGUAGCAGGAGGCAGCGCAAGCACAAUCGCAGUCUUUGUAGGAAGGAGAGAGCCCAGAUUCACCUUUGAUUGAGGUCACCGGACACAAUUCAAAGGACAGUGUGGCCGUGCACGUUGCCGGAGCAAGGGAGGGAGGCAAAGUUAGAAUCGUUGAAGUCGUCUGGAGAGAGGGAGGCGAGAGGAGAUUAGAUGCUAUGAUAGCUAGGGACAGAGGCAAGGAGAGACUUGGGCUGGGGGUUAGAAUUUGCAGGGUUUAUGCCUUGUUUGGGUGGGGGUGAAGAAAGGUUAG
rnacentral:misc_RNA from 1 species